UCUGGUCAGGAUGAACGCUGGCGGCGUGCCUAAUACAUGCAAGUCGAACGAGGUAGCAAUACCGAGUGGCGAACGGGUGAGUAACACGUAGGUAACCUGCCCUUAAGCUUGGGAUACCCAGAGGAAACUUUGGCUAAUACCGGAUAACAACAGAGAAGGCAUCUCUUUGCUUGAAAGGCCCCUUCAAGGGUCACUUAAGGAUGGACCUGCGGCGCAUUAGCUAGUUGGUGAGAUAACAGCCCACCAAGGCGAGGAUGCGUAGCCGAACUGAGAGGUUGAUCGGCCACAUUGGAACUGAGACACGGUCCAAACUCCUACGGGAGGCAGCAGUAAGGAGUUUUCGGCAAUGGGGGAAACCCUGACCGAGCAACGCCGCGUGAGCGAUGACGGUCCUUUGGAAUUGUAAAGCUCUGUUGUAAGCCAUGAAUGACAGCUUGAGGAAAUGCAAGUUGUUUGACGACAGCUUACCAGAAAGCCACGGCUAACUACGUGCCAGCCGCGGC
rnacentral:rRNA from 1 species